GACGAACGCUGGCGGCGUGCUUAACACAUGCAAGUCGAACGGAAAGGCCCUGCUUGCAGGGUACUCGAGUGGCGAACGGGUGAGUAACACGUGGGUGAUCUGCCCUGCACUUCGGGAUAAGCCUGGGAAACUGGGUCUAAUACCGGAUAGGAGCCAUUUUUAGUGUGAUGGUUGGAAAGUUUUUUCGGUGUAGGAUGAGCUCGCGGCCGAUCAGCUUGUUGGUGGGGUAAUGGGCUACCAAGGCGGCGAAGGGUAGCCGGCCGGAGAGGGUGGACGGCCAAAAUGGGGAUGGGGUAAGGGCCCGGCCCCCUACGGGGGCAGCAGUGGGGAAUAUUGCAACAUGGGCGCAAGCCUGAUGCAGCGACGGCGCGUGGGGGAUGACGGGCCUCGGGUUGUAAACUCCUUUCGCUAGGGACGAAGCUUUUUGUGACGGUACCUAGAUAAGAAGCACCGGCUAACUACGUG
rnacentral:rRNA from 1 species